AGCGAACGUUUGCGGCGGGCUUAACACAUGCAAGUCGAACGGGCUGUUCCUUCGGGGGCAGUCAGUGGCGCACGGGUGCGUAACACGUAGGUAAUCAACCCUCUGGUUGGGGAUAACACUUCGAAAGGAGUGCUAAUACCCGGUAUGGCGCAGCGGUCUUCGGAUCGCGGCGAGAAAGACCCGCAAGGGUUGCCAGAGGACGAGCCUGCGGCCCAUCAGCUAGUUGGCGAGGUAACGGCUCACCAAGGCGAAGACGGGUAGCUGGUCUGAGAGGAUGAUCAGCCACACUGGAACUGAGACACGGUCCAGACUCCUACGGGAGGCAGCAGUGGGGAAUAUUGCGCAAUGGGCGAAAGCCUGACGCAGCCACGCCGCGUGAGCGAUGAAGGCCUCGGUCGUAA
rnacentral:rRNA from 1 species